AUGAUAUUGCAGCUCUUUUCAUUUAUGUGUUGUUUUAGUGCAUUAUUAUCUUCCAUGAUUUGUUUUUCACUGAUACAUUUUGUUGCAUAUAUGGAGGCCAUCUGCUAUUCUGCUGAUAUUUCUUAUUAUAUCAUCUUGUUUGCGAACUUAAAAAGGUCCCUCAAAGAGAAGCGUUUUUCAUAUGCUCCUGAAUCUGGUGUGCGGUAUGAUGGAGUUUACAGAUUGAGAACUGUUGGAGGAAGACUGGUAUUCAGCGGAGGGUCACAGAUUCACAGGUGUAAGGAUCAGUACAAUUGGGCCUCGCAUUAUUUUUUUCCAGAAUUGGGUUUUCAGGAUGUGAUUUUCAGUUUUAGGCAUUUGGUACUUUCGGCAUCGAGAAAAAAAAUUGUUCCUCUGAGCGUGUGCCUUCAAAUGCAAAGUUCUGACUAUGAUUUCGCGUGCAACCAUAGCGCCGUUGGCCGCUCUGCCUACCGAGUGCCACCCCGCCGCCUCCUCCCACCCCCCACCUGGGACCUCACCGCCCGCUCCCCGCCCGACACACCCACAACGCUUGAGGCUGAGCAGACGCCAUUGGCCCGUGGGCACGGAAACAGAGUCCAGGAUGGUGAUGGUGCCAAGGAGGACUCUCAAACGUCGACCGAUUGCAUCGUUGCUGCCGUACCAAUGGAGUGGCGCUGCUCCAACCACUCUGAGAUGACUCAUCAAUGGCAUCAUACGACUCAUAACACCACCGACUUGACCACAAAUCAGCCGCUGGUUGCAUGCCGUAGCACUAUCAGUUCCUUGUGGUGA
rnacentral:rRNA from 1 species